rnacentral:rRNA from 1 species
AGACGAACCGUCCAAACGUUAUUCGGAAUCACUGGGCUUAAAGGGUGCGUAGGCGGCCCUGUAAGUUGGGUGUGAAAUCCCUUGGCUCAACCGAGGAAUUGCGCCCAAUACUGCAGGGCUAGAGGGAGACAGAGGUGAGCGGAACUUGUGGUGGAGCGGUGAAAUGCGUUGAUAUUACAAGGAACACCUGUGGCGAAAGCGGCUCACUGGGUCUCUUCUGACGCUGAGGCACGAAAGCUGGGGGAGCGAACGGGAUUAGAUACCCCGGUAGUCCCAGCUGUAAACGAUGAGCACUAGUCCGGAGGACCCCCCAUAGUUUUCCGGACGUAGCGAAAGUGUUAAGUGCUCCGCCUGGGGAGUAUGGUCGCAAGGCUGAA